rnacentral:lncRNA from 10 species
AAUGAUUCAGUGAGUGUUUAUACUGUUUGUGUUAUUUAGGCAGCACAUUUUUGUUCGGAAUAGUCAAAACUAUCUUUGCGGUGGCAUCCCAAUGAAGGAGGAAGGAGGAAUUUGUAUCUGGUAGCUGGACAGUACUGGACCCAUCACAAUUUCAAUACUGGGAAGAGAAAAGCCAGUCCUCUGGGGAAAGAUGAAGCACUGGACCUACAAACUAACUACUUUCAACCCCUGGAUGAAUCUAGGAGCAGAUUAGUCCCGAUAUCAAGGCAAUGUCAAGAGUGAAGGGGAGGAUCAAGAUUUUUUUUGAGUGAUUGUUUCCUGGAAGGAGAAAAAAAAAUAACAAGAAAAUGACCAUGGAAAGUAACAACAACUGAAAACGGAUAAAAUGAAGAUGUGUGAAAGAGCACAAGAGUGCAAAACCAAAAGUAUACAAGGAGUGUUUAUGCAGUAACCACUUUAGAAUGCCUUUCCUCAUGUUUGAAGACUUCUAAACUAGGGCAAGGACAGAUCCCAGCAACUACUGGAAGCAUAAUAAAGGAGAAGAAUGAGGCAUUUUCUUCUCUCAUAUACAGAUUAUAUGUAAUUAGGAUGCUAAGGAUAAUUUUGUAACAUAAAAACGGAGAUGCUAAGGAGAAUGGUUUCACCCUAGUUUAUAGAAGGAGGGUAUACUAUGGUCUAUCAAAGACUGAAAAUUGUCCUCUGCUAAUAAAGUCUCAAAUCAGGGCAAUUGGAUUUCUUUCUUUUUUUUUUUUUAUUAUACUUUAAGUUUUAGGGUACAUGUGCACAAUGUGAAGGUUUGUUACAUAUGUAUACAUGUUCCAUGUUGGUGUGCUGCACCCAUUAACUCAUCAUUUACAUUAGGUAUAUCUCCUAAUGCUAUCCCUCCCCACUCUCCCAGCCCCACAACAGGUCCUGGUGUGUGAUGUUCUCCUUCCUGUGUCCAUGUGUUCAAUUCCCACCUAUGAGUUGAGUUAGAGUUACUAGUCUCAAAUAAAUGCUUGGUAAUGCCAUACAAUCUAAACAUGUUGUCACUGUCAACUCACUAUCUCAUAUUCUGCAAUGAUACCCUUCUAUAUUCUGAAAUUCCUUCCCCAUUCUCAGCAGAUAGCCUCAGAUCAUAUAUCAUACACACAAUUGAACAUAUCACAUAGAAAUUUCAUCAGCUCACUGCCUCCAAUCCAAUGAACCUAACAUCUACUAACAUCAACACCAUCCAGGAAACCAUGACCUCACCAGAUGAACUAAAUAAGGCACCAGGGAAAAAUACCAGUGAAACAGAGACAUGUGACCUUUCAGACAGAUAAUUCAAAAUAGCUGUGUUGAGGAAACUCAAAUUCAAGAUGAUACAGAGAAGGAAUUCAGAAUUAGAUAAAUUUAACAAAGAGAUUGAAAUAAUUAAGAAUCAAGCAGAAAUUCUGGAGCUGAAAAACGCAACUGGCGUAUUGAGAAAUGCACCAGAGUCUCUUAAUAGCAGAACUGAUCAAGCAGAAGAAUGAAUUAGUGAUGUUGAAGACAGACUAUUGGAAAUGCACAGUCAGAAGAGAAAAAAGAAAAAACAAUGAAGCACGCCUACAGGAUCUAAAAAAUAGCCCCCAAAGGGCAAAUCUAAGAGUUACUGGCCUUAAAGAGGGGGGGCUCAACACCCAAGUACAAAAAGGUUAGAGAACACCAAGUAGAUUUAAUCUAAAGAAGACUACCUUGAAUCGUUUAACAAUUAAACUCCCAAAGGUCAAGGAUAAAGAAAGGAUACUAAAAGAACCAAGAGAAAAGAAACAAGUAACAUACACUAGAGCUCCAGUACACCUGGUAGCAGACUUUUCAGUGGAAACCUUACACACCAGGAGAGUGACAUGGCAUAUUUAAAGUGCUAAAGGGUGGAAAAAAAGCCUUUUACCCUGGA